CCUACGGGUGGCAGCAGUGAGGAAUAUUGGUCAAUGGGUGGAAGCCUGAACCAGCCAAGUAGCGUGCAGGAUGACGGCCCUACGGGUUGUAAACUGCUUUUAUACGGGAAUAACGCGCCUUACGUGUAGGGCUUUGCAUGUACCGUAUGAAUAAGGACCGGCUAAUUCCGUGCCAGCAGCCGCGGUAAUACGGAGGAUGCGAGCGUUAUCCGGAUUUAUUGGGUUAAAAGGGUGCGGUGGGGGAUUUUUAAGUCAGCGGUAAAAUGGCGGGGCUCAACCCGGGCCGGCCGUUGAAACUGGGGGUCUGGAGUGGGGGAGAAGUAUGCGGAAUGCGUGGUGUAGCGGUGAAAUGCAUAGAUAUCACGCAGAACUCCGAUGGCGAAGGCAGCAUGCCGGCGCGCGACUGACGCUGAGGCACGAAAGCGUGGGGAUCGAACAGGAUUAGAUACCCUUGUAGUC
rnacentral:rRNA from 1 species